UACAGAGACUGCAAGCGUUAUUCGGAUUCACUGGGCGUAAAGGGCGCGCAGGCGGCUUUGUUUGUCAGGCGUGAAAGCCCCGGGCUUAACCUGGGAACUGCGUUUGAUACGGCAGGGCUAGAGUUCGGGAGAGGAGAGUGGAAUUCCCAGUGUAGAGGUGAAAUUCGUAGAUAUUGGGAAGAACACCGGUGGCGAAGGCGGCUCUCUGGACCGAUACUGACGCUGAGACGCGAAAGCGUGGGUAGCAAACAGG
rnacentral:rRNA from 1 species